rnacentral:tRNA from 1 species
CGGGAUGUAGCGCAGCCUGGAUAGCGCACCAGACUGGGGGUCUGGGGGUCGCGGGUUCGAAUCCCGCCAUCCCGACCA